AAAUGAUGAGGAUGAGAAUGUUGAUUCAGAUGCUGCUAUUGAUGAAGAACGGAUGCCAAUUUUGACAUCUAAUAUGUUUUGAUUGUUGCUUCAUUUUUUUUGUGGGUUGUGCUCUAGAUAUUUUGUGCACCUUGUGUGCCUUUUUUUAUUGGUCUAUAAUAUGUUCUAAUGAAUGACUUUCCUAAUGCAUAAUUUUCCUGUUUUUAUCAAUUUUUG
rnacentral:lncRNA from 1 species